rnacentral:rRNA from 1 species
AUUGAACGCUGGCGGCAGGCCUAACACAUGCAAGUCGAACGAGUGGCGGACGGGUGAGUAAUGUCUGGGAAACUGCCCGAUGGAGGGUGAUAACUACUGGAAACGGUAGCUAAUACCGCAUACCAUCGGUUGUUACCAGAUGGGAUUAGCUUGUCUGUGAGGUAACGGCUCACCUAGGCGACGAUCCCUAGCUGGUCUGAGAGGAUCACCAGACACGCGGGAACGUGGACACUGUCCCGACUCCUACGUGAGGCAGCAGUGGGGAAUAUGGCACAAUGGGCGCAAGCCUAAUGCAGCCAUGCCGCGUGUAUGAAGAAGGACUUCGGGUUGUAAAGUACUUUCAGCGGGGAGGCGUUACCCGCAGAAGAAGCACCGGCUAACUCCGUGCCAGCAGCCGCGGUAAUUC